rnacentral:rRNA from 1 species
CCCGCUCAGAAACGUAAAAGGAAGUUAGACGGGGGCCCGGCGACAAGCGGUGGAGUAUGUGGUUAAUUCGAUGCAACGCGAAGAACUUACCUGGUCUUGACAUCCCGGAGACCCUUAGGAAACUAGGGGUGCUUCCAUCUGGAAGAAUCUGGAGACAGGUGCUGCAUGGCUGUCGUCAGCUCGUGUCGUGAGAUGUUGGGUUAAGUCCCGCAACGAGCGCAACCCUUGCCUUUAGUUGCCAGCAGUUCGGCUGGGCACUCUAAAGGGACUGCCGGUGUUAAACCGGAGGAAGGUGGGGAUGACGUCAAGUCCUCAUGGCCUUUAUGACCAGGGCUACACACGUACUACAAUGGCCGAUACAAAGGGCAGCGACACUGCGAGGUGAAGCCAAUCCCGUAAAAUCGGUCUCAGUCCGGAUUGGAGUCUGCAACUCGACUCCAUGAAGUUGGAAUCGCUAGUAAUCGUGGAUCAGCAUGCCACGGUGAAUACGUUCCCGGGCCUU